rnacentral:rRNA from 1 species
UACGUAGGGUCCGAGCGUUGUCCGGAAUUACUGGGCGUAAAGAGCUCGUAGGUGGUUUGUCGCGUUGUUCGUGAAAACUCACAGCUCAACUGUGGGCGUGCGGGCGAUACGGGCAGACUAGAGUACUGCAGGGGAGACUGGAAUUCCUGGUGUAGCGGUGGAAUGCGCAGAUAUCAGGAGGGAACACCGGUGGGCCGAAGGCGGGUCUCUGGGCAGUAACUGA